rnacentral:rRNA from 1 species
GAUGAACGCUGGCGGCGUGCCUAAUACAUGCGAGUCGAGCGAACAGAUGAGGAGCUUGCUCCUCUGACGUUAGCGGCGGACGGGUGAGUAACACGUGGAUAACCUACCUAUAAGACUGGGAUAACUUCGGGAAACCGGAGCUAAUACCGGAUAAUAUAUUGAACCGCAUGGUUCAAUAGUGAAAGACGGUUUUGCUGUCACUUAUAGAUGGAUCCGCGCCGCAUUAGCUAGUUGGUAAGGUAACGGCUUACCAAGGCAACGAUGCGUAGCCGACCUGAGAGGGUGAUCGGCCACACUGGAACUGCGACACGGUCCAGACUCCUACGGGAGGCAGCAGUAGGGAAUCUUCCGCAAUGGGCGAAAGCCUGACGGAGCAACGCCGCGUGAGUGAUGAAGGUCUUCGGAUCGUAAAACUCUGUUAUUAGGGAAGAACAAAUGUGUAAGUAACUAUGCACGUCUUGACGGUACCUAAUCAGAAAGCCACGGCUAACUACGUG